UACGAGGGGUCCAAGCGUUGUUCGGAAUCAUUGGGCGUAAAGCGGGUGUAGGCGGCUCUAUAAGUCAGAAGUGAAAUCCCCGGGCUCAACCUGGGAAUUGCGAUGGAGACUGCAAGGCUAGAAUCUGGCAGAGGGGGGUAGAAUUCCACGUGUAGCAGUGAAAUGCGUAGAGAUGUGGAGGAACACCGAUGGCGAAGGCAGCCCCCUGGGUCAAAACUGACGCUCAUGCACGAAAGCGUGGGGAGCAAACAGG
rnacentral:rRNA from 1 species